AGAGUUUGAUCCUGGCUCAGAGCGAACGCUGGCGGCGUGCCUAACACAUGCAAGUCGUACGAGAAACACGUCCUUCGGGAUGUGGAGUAAAGUGGCGCACGGGUGAGUAACACGUGGGUAACCUGCCCUAUGGUUCGGGAUAACUGGCCGAAAGGCCCGCUAAUACCGGAUGAGACCACAUGAGCCUCGGCUCAAGGGGUCAAAGUCGGCCUCUCAACGAAGCCGGCGCCACAGGAGGGGCCCGCGGACCAUUAGCUUGUUGGUAGGGUAACGGCCUACCAAGGCUGAGAUGGUUAGCUGGUCUGAGAGGAUGAUCAGCCACACUGGAACUGAGAUACGGUCCAGACUCCUACGGGAGGCAGCAGUGAGGAAUAUUGCGCAAUGGGGGAAACCCUGACGCAGCAACGCCGCGUGGGUGAAGAAGGCUUUCGGGUUGUAAAGCCCUGUCAGGUGGGAAGAACCUUCUGCAGGUGAAUAGCCUGUGGAAUUGACGGUACCACCAAAGGAAGCACCGGCUAACUCCGUGCCAGCAGCCGCGGUAAGACGGAGGGUGCAAGCGUUGUUCGGAAUCACUGGGCGUAAAGCGCGUGUAGGCGGUUCGAUAAGUCGAAUGUGAAAGCCCGGGGCUCAACCUCGGAAGUGCAUUCGAAACUGUCGGGCUUGAGUACGGGAGAGGGAAGUGGAAUUCCUGGUGUAGAGGUGAAAUUCGUAGAUAUCAGGAGGAACACCGGUGGCGAAGGCGGCUUCCUGGACCGAUACUGACGCUGAGACGCGAAAGCGUGGGGAGCAAACAGGAUUAGAUACCCUGGUAGUCCACGCCGUAAACGGUGAGCACUAGGUGUAGCGGGUAUUGACCCCUGCUGUGCCGCAGCUAACGCAUUAAGUGCUCCGCCUGGGGAGUACGGUCGCAAGAUUAAAACUCAAAGGAAUUGACGG
rnacentral:rRNA from 1 species